AUUUUAUCAUAUUACCCACAACAUACGAUUCAAAUAUAUACAGUGUGGUUAGCUGAAAAUCCACUGUUUUUUGCACUAUAACCUCUGCAUUGAACAUUAGUGAUUUGGAUGCUUAGUAUUUAAAUUUUUUAAUUCAUACAACAGUGUAAAUAAAAAUCGAGGUUGCUUCUUAGUAAUUGACAGGAAUAAUAAGUGGCAGAUUUGGUGCUCUUCCUGAGCUAAAGGGACACACUAAACAGCAGUGAUUAUGUAUACAUUGGUAGAUGGUAUAAUAUCAUGAGUCCUACCCUUAUAUGUUUUCUCCAUAAAGUUCAGAAUUGGACUUGCUUCAUGUUCGCUAGGUUUAUUCAAAAUUCUUUGGCAGUGCAGUGCUUACGGAUUGCUCUUUGGCAAUAUUACAUUAAUUUGUAAUCUGUUUCACACUAGAAUCUGUUGUCCUCAUUUAGCCUCUUCUAACAUAUGUGUUUUCUGGGGUUUUUUAAUGCGCCUCAUUAUUUUUCUUUAUGUUCCUGUGUUAAGGUAAGUGUAGCCAAGCAUGUUUUUUUUUUUUAGCUGAUUGCAAUGUGGUUUUCAGCAAGUCUUGCAGAAACCCAAGCAAGGUUUGCUGAGCUCAGUUCCCUGUAGAUUUCAAUGCACUGGAGUUAAAGGGAAACUCUCUUCAUGCUGUGUAGUGUUUGGUGUACUACAAUAAAGAAAAACAAAUGUAAACAUGCUCUAGGUACCCUAUGAUGAUUAUUCUUGUAGGAUCCACAAUCGAGAGGUAUGAAGAUCAUGUCUUGCUCUUAGUAGAUCACAUAGACUGGUGUGAUGUUACCCAAAGUGGAUACAUUGGUGAAUUUACAUGUUUGGGAUUUAGGAACCCUAUUCUGAACUGAUCACUUAGUAAACGUGACCUCCAC